rnacentral:rRNA from 1 species
UACAGAGGGUGCAAGCGUUAAUCGGAAUUACUGGGCGUAAAGCGUGCGUAGACGGUUAUUUAAGUCAGGUGUGAAAGCCCCGGGCUCAACCUGGGAAUUGCAUUUGAGACUGAAUAGCUAGGGUGCGGAAGAGGGAAGCGGAAUUUCCGGUGUAGCGGUGAAAUGCGUAGAUAUCGGAAGGAACACCAGUGGCGAAAGCGGCUCACUGGACCACAACUGACGCUGAGGCGCGAAAGCUAGGGGAGCAAACAGG